GCCCGCUUGGCUCAGUGGUAGAGCGUGUCACUAGUAUUCUAGGGCAAUGACAAGGUCAUCAGUUCGAUUCUGAUAGUGGGCA
rnacentral:tRNA from 1 species